rnacentral:rRNA from 1 species
AUUGAACGCUGGCGGAAUGCUUUACACAUGCAAGUCGAACGGUAGAGGGGGCAACCCCUCGAGAGUGGCGAACGGGUGAGUAAUAUAUCGGAACGUGCCCAGUCGUGGGGGAUAACGUAGCGAAAGUUACGCUAAUACCGCAUACGAUCUAAGGAUGAAAGCGGGGGAUCGCAAGACCUCGCGCGAUUGGAGCGGCCGAUUUCAGAUUAGGUAGUUGGUGGGGUAAAGGCUCACCAAGCCAACGAUCUGUAGCUGGUUUGAGAGGUCGACCAGCCAACCUGGAACUGAGACACGGUCCAGACUCCUACGGGAGGCAGCAGUGGGGAAUUUUGGACAAUGGACGCAAGUCUGAUCCAGCCAUUCCGCGUGCAGGAUGAAGGCCCUCGGGUUGUAAACUGCUUUUGUACGGAACGAAAAGGUCUCUCUUAAUACGGGGGACUCAUGACGGUACCGUAAGAAUAAGCACCGGCUAACUACGUGACAGCAGCCGCAGUAAAAC